GAUCCCAGGGUCUGAGAGAGAGCCAAGAUGAAUAUGGCCUUCCAAGAAGACAUGCUGACAAGAAAAGACUCAGAGUGCCCAGGAGCUUCCCCUUCCUACCAACCCUGCAGCCUGGAACCCUAGCCAUACCUCUCCCUGACUGUGGACAGUACAGCCUUUGAGCUGAGCCAAGCUGCUCCCCUGGCGAUUUCCAUAAGAGUACCACUUAUCAGCACCUUGGACAGCAUACAAAUGAUUCUGCAUCUCCAGAAAUUGUCACAGCCACCCCAACCUUCAGCUACCACUACCCUGAUUCAUCAGCAUCAAUACCAAGGCAACAUCCUCCACCAGAAAAAGAUUACAACUCAAGCACAUUCACCUGGGGAUCUGGCAAGAUGGCUGAAUAGCAACAGCUCCGGUCUGCAGCUCCCAGCGAGACCAACACAGAAGUUUUGAUCAGCGACUGGUUGAAUCCGUGGAUGCAAAACCUGUGGAUACAGAGGGACAGAGGCCUACUGUACAUGG
rnacentral:sRNA from 1 species